rnacentral:tRNA from 1 species
AAGCUCGUAGCUCAGUCGGCAGAGCAUAUCUCUCAUAAAGAUCCGCGCGUCAGUUCAAUUCUGACCGAGCUUA